GAGAUUCAUCUGACAUAGUUUCUGUUUAUCCAUCUAGCCAGGGCCUGCCCAAGACAGUUUGGCACCUGGGGUGAACCACAAAAUUGUGCCCCCCCCCUUCCUGCCAAGGAAGAAAGGGUGAGUGAAGAUCUACAUCAAGAAGAAGGGGGAAAUCAAGAUCUACAUCAGGAUCUUCUGCUGCUGUGGAUCCUGCCGCCUGAGGUGAUCACUUCACGUUGUCUCAUGUGUGGGCCGGCCCUGCAUCCAGCCCAAUACUGGGUACCCCAGGUAUGUGUCCCUCCAAAUAUUGUUGGGCAAUAAUUCGCCAUUUAUGGCCAAGCAAGAAUCAAACCUAAGUCUCUACAGGCUAAGACUUGUAGCCUAACCCACAGUUAGCCAACAUGAUUUUCUCUAGACGUUAAGAGACUACUACCACCAUUAUUCCUCAUCAUUGGCUAUGCUGGUUGGGGCUGAUGGGAGUUGGGUCUAAAUAGGGUUGCCAUAAAUCUGGGAAUUCCUGGGCAUGUCCUCUUUUGGGGGUCCUACACCCCCAUGCGGGGGGGGGGAUUUUACAUUUUAAAGCAAAUGUCCUGGAUUUGGGGUUUGUUUGUUUGCUUGUUUUAUUGUUAGUGAUGAAAAUUUGUGUGUAGGUGGCUCUGGCGAUCAUCUCCGUGCAAUGCAGGAAUAUGCAGCUGUCCCAUACAGGGUCUGAACCUGCAACUUUUGCAUUAUCAGCACCAUGCUCUAACCAACUUAGAGGAGCUGUGCAAUAUAGUCCACUUUUAAUACCUGUUCCUAUAUAUUUGACUAACUUUAUCAGUAAAUGGGGCUGGAGGCUAAUUUUGUGAUAUGUAAAAGUAGCCAAAGUCAGGGCCUCUGGCUAUUCCAUCAUGCUUUUACAGGUGGGUAAUUACAACGGACAAAUUAAUUGAAACACAUUAAGGCAACACACUGGGGGCUCCAGCUGGAGACAGGAUGAGCAUUCCAGAUGGAAAAGGUCAUUAAUUUGUCCUUCAGGGACCCGAGCAUCAGCCUGGUAAUUACUGUAAUAUUACCCCAUAGCUGAUUGUGUACUGCUGCUUCCUUUGAUAGGAGGAUACCAUAUUGUCAAGCAACUGCAGCAAGGAACAGACUUGGAUUCUUCAUUUUAAAAAAUACAGGAAGCAAUUGAUUCUCUCUGGAAUCCCAGAAAACUCGAUGAAGGUUAACAAGAAGCCAUUCCCUGAAACCUAUUUGAGUCUCAUGAAAAGACACGUUUUCUUUUUGGUCAAAAAUUAAAAAUCCACACUGAUGUGGAUUUACCGUUUGACCUCUGCUCUUGUCUUCUUCCCUUGCCCCCAGUAAAUGCUUGCAUGAAUACCUUUUUUUGCAGUUGCUUUGUCAAAUUGCUACUCAUACACACUCCUCCUCCAUCCGAGUGAAAUACCGAGAGAGAGCUUCUCUCAAUUUUGCUUGGAAAGGAUUUUGCGCAACAUGACAGGCAGCAGCAAGUGAUUUAAAGAAAAAAUGUGGGUCAGCUUUCUGGGUCUUAAAGCUGGUUAGUACCACAAUAAAACGUGUCUGGG